rnacentral:antisense_RNA from 1 species
CUUCACCGAGCCCAGCCAGAGGGGCCGCCCCUCGGGCCGGUUCCGGCCGUAGGUGGCGAGCAGCGCCUGCGCCUC